AUCAGUUGGGGCCCCCAUUUAUAGAAAAUAAUAAGUAAAAAUAAAAAUAAAAUCAUAAAAGUCAUGCCUAAAAUCUUUAUAGAAUUUAUCAACUUAAAACGUGUGCUUUUAUGUUUUUAGCGCGCGCAUUAUCAGCAUUAUAGUUGGUUCGCAAUUUUGUUAGAAAUUCGCCAUAUUGUUUUGUUGCAAACCGCCAUAUUGUUACUAAUCCGCCAUAUUGUUUCCGUUAUACUUAAUAAUAACGGUCAUACUUGUUCCAGAACCGCAGGGAACCCCCCGUUUUUAACCCUAUUAUUAUAAAUAUCCACUAACCUUGUAACAGCUUCGGUAAUGUAAUUAUAGUUGAGUAAUAAUACCACUUUAUAUCCACCGUGAAAUUGCACAUUUGCCCAAGAUAUCCACCACGAGAAUGCACAUUUGCCCAAGAUAUCCACCACGUGAAAUUGCACAUUUGCCCAAGAUAUCCACCACGGGAAUGCACAUUUGCCCAAGAUAUGCACCAAUAUACGUUGUGGUAAGGUGGGGUAAUUUCAUAUUUAGUGUUGAAAAAAGGUUUGGGGUCCGAUCCUGAGGGGUCUAGUGCGUGAAUACACGCAUGAUGCCUUACCCUAAGCUGGACGAGUCUAUCUCACUCGCUCAUGCAUGUUGGCCUUAACUGAACCCUAAGAGACCUAAUGCUCUUGUAAAUACUCAAUACGUGCGCUAGUGAGACACCCCACUUACAAGCCACCAUUCUGCCACUACUCUGUUCACUACUCCUUCGCUGUAAUUAAAUACAUAGUUAUAUACUUGUGUAAAACUGCUCUUCACAUUUUGAUAAGUAUAUAGCCAUUAGAUUAUGGCAAAAGGUAACAACUGAUACAUAGGCAGUGAAUCUUAGUGGUUUUUGUAAAAAAUUGAAAUAUCAAUAACUGUACAGUCUAUUUUGAAAGCUUGAGCAUAUAGCAAAAGCAUCAG